AGAGUUUGAUCCUGGCUCAGGACGAACGCUGGCGGCGUGCUUAACACAUGCAAGUCGAACGCUGAAACCAGAGCUUGCUUUGGUGGAUGAGUGGCGAACGGGUGAGUAACACGUGGGUGAUCUGCCCUACACUUUGGGAUAAGCCUGGGAAACUGGGUCUAAUACCGAAUAUUCACACCACCGUAGGGGUGGUGUGGAAAGCUUUAUGCGGUGUGGGAUGAGCCUGCGGCCUAUCAGCUUGUUGGUGGGGUAAUGGCCUACCAAGGCGUCGACGGGUAGCCGGCCUGAGAGGGUGUACGGCCACAUUGGGACUGAGACACGGCCCAGACUCCUACGGGAGGCAGCAGUGGGGAAUAUUGCACAAUGGGCGCAAGCCUGAUGCAGCGACGCCGCGUGGGGGAUGACGGCCUUCGGGUUGUAAACUCCUUUCGCUAGGGACGAAGCCUUUGGUGACGGUACCUGGAGAAGAAGCACCGGCUAACUACGUGCCAGCAGCCGCGGUAAU
rnacentral:rRNA from 1 species